rnacentral:misc_RNA from 1 species
AGAAACCCUGGAAGUAAAAAAGGGCAAUCCUGAGCCAAAUCCUGUUUUCCGAAAACAAACAAAGUUUGCGAAAGCGAGAAUAAAAAAAAGGAUAGGUGCAGAGACUCAACGGAAGCUAUUCUAAAGUUUACAAAUAGAGUUGACUGCGUUGCGUUAGUAAAAAAAUCCUUUCCUAAAAAUUCCAGAAAGGAUAAACUUAUAUACAUACGUAUACGUACUGAAAGACUAUCUCAAAUGAUUAAUGAUGACCUAAAUCUGUAUUAUUUAUCAAAAAAAUCAAAGAUUUGUUGUGAAUCGAUUCCAAAUUGAAGAAGGAAUCAAAUGAUAAUUGAUCAAAUCAUUCACUCCAGUGUCAGAUAGAUCUUUUGAAAACCCGAUAGAAUAAAGAUAGAGUCCCAUUCUACAUGUCAAUAUUGACAACAAUGAAAUUUAUAGUAAAAGGAAAAUCCGUCGACUUUAGAAAUCGUGAGGGUUCAAGUCCCUCUAUCCCCAAAAAGGACCCUUUGACUCCCUAAUUUUUUUCUCUCUUUUCAUUAACGAUUCAAAAUUAUUUAUCUUUCUCAUUCAUUCGACUCUUUCACAAACACCAGGAUCCAAGUGUAAAAUUUUUGUCUUACUCUUACCACAAGCUUUGUGAUACAUAUAAUACACAUACAAAUGAAUAUCCUUGAGCGAGGAAUCCCCAUUUGAAUGAUUUACAAUCCAUAUAAUUACGCGUACUGAAACCUACACUUUGAAGAUAAAAAAGAUGGGUAAAGCUUUGUAAUACUUUUUUUUUUGGCAUCUUUCUAAUUGACAUAGACCUAAGUCAUCUAAUAUCAUGAGGAUGAUAGCUUCGGGAAAUGGUCGGGAUAGCUUCAGCCUUGAAC